GCGGAAGCUGCGAUGCGGACGGGGCAGCGGCGGUGACCCGAGCUGCCGCCCGACAUGAACUCGCUGGAGCAGGCGGAAGCCCCGCGAGUUGUAUCCCUGAUUCCUGCGGUGGUUUCCGGUAACUGCCAAGAUCUCAAGGCUUUUGAGAGGAGACUUACUGAAUAUAUUCAUUGUUUGCAACCUGCUACUGGACGCUGGAGAAGCGCCGUAGCUCACGCCUGUAAUCCCAGCACUUUAGGAAGCCCAGGCAGGCGGAUCACCUAAGGUCAGAAGUUCAAGACUAGCGUGGCCAACACGGUGAAACGCCGUCUCUACUAAAAAUACGAAAUUAGCCGGUCGUGGUGACGCUGCCUGUGAUCCCAG
rnacentral:sRNA from 1 species